rnacentral:rRNA from 1 species
GCAGAUCUGGUCGAUCCUGCCGGACCCGACUGCUAUCAGAGUGAGACUAAGCCAUGCGAGUUAACGUAUGAAUAAUACGUGGCACACGGCUCAGUAACACGUAGUCAACAUGCCCAGAGGACGUGGAUAACCUCGGGAAACUGAGGAUAAACCGCGAUAGGCCAUAAUUACUGGAAUGGGUUAUGGCUUAAACCUAUAUGGCCUCUGGAUUGGACUGCGGCCGAUCAGGCUGUUGGUGAGGUAAUGGCCCACCAAACCUGUUACCGGUACGGGCUCUGAGAGGAGGAGCCCGGAGAUGGGCACUGAGACAAGGGCCCAGGCCCUAUGGGGCGCAGCAGGCGCGAAACCUCUGCAAUAGGCGAAAGCCUGACAGGGUUACUCUGAGUGAUUCCCGCUAAGGGGAUCUUUUGGCACCUCUAAAAAUGGUGCAGAAUAAGGGGUGGGCAAGUCUGGUGUCAGCCGCCGCGGUAAUACCAGCACCCCGAGUGGUCGGGACGAUUAUUGGGCCUAAAGCAUCCGUAGCCGGUCAUGCAAGUCCUCCGUUAAAUCCACCUGCUUAACAGAUGGGCUGCGGAGGAUACUACAAGGCUAGGAGGCGGAAGAGGCAAGCGGUACUCAGUGGGUAGGGGUAAAAUCCUCUGAUCCAUUGAAGACCACCAGUGGCGAAGGCGGCUUGCCAAUACGCGCUCGACGGUGAGGGAUGAAAGCUGGGGGAGCAAACCGGAUUAGAUACCCGGGUAGUCCCAGCUGUAAACGAUGCAGACUCGGUGAUGGGCCGGCUUUAUGCCGGCUCAGUGCCGCAGGGAAGCCGUUAAGUCUGCCGCCUGGGGAGUACGGUCGCAAGACUGAAACUUAAAGGAAUUGGCGGGGGAGCACCACAAGGGUGAAGCCUGCGGUUCAAUUGGAUCC